ACAAUGCAAGUCGUGCGAGAAUGUAUCUUCGGAUAUGAUUAGAGCGGCGGACGGGUGAGUAACGCGUAGGAAUCUACCUAGUAGAAGGGAUAGCCCGAGGAAACUCGGAUUAAUACCGUAUACCUCCUUCGGGAGAAAGAAGGCCUCUCUUUGAAGCUUUCGCUACUAGAUGAGCCUGCGUAAGAUUAGCUUGUUGGUGAGGUAAAGGCUCACCAAGGCGACGAUCUUUAGCGGGUCUGAGAGGACGAUCCGCCACAUUGGGACUGAGACACGGCCCAGACUCCUACGGGAGGCAGCAGUGGGGAAUAUUGGACAAUGGGCGCAAGCCUGAUCCAGCCAUACCGCGUGUGUGAAGAAGGCCUUAGGGUUGUAAAGCACUUUAAGUUGGGAAGAAAGGUUAUUGGCUAAUACCCAAUAACUGAGACAUUACCAUCAGAAUAAGGACCGGCUAAUUCCGUGCCAGCAGCCGCGGUAAUACGGAAGGUCCAAGCGUUAAUCGGAAUUACUGGGCGUAAAGCGCGCGUAGGUGGUUUAUUAAGUUGGAUGUGAAAUCCCCGGGCUCAACCUGGGAACUGCAUUCAAAACUGGUUCACUAGAGUACGAUAGAGGGAGGUAGAAUUCACAGUGUAGCGGUGGAAUGCGUAGAUAUUGUGAAGAAUACCAAUGGCGAAGGCAGCCUCCUGGAUCUGUACUGACACUGAGGUGCGA
rnacentral:rRNA from 1 species